rnacentral:misc_RNA from 1 species
AAAGGAUAUAUUGCCAAAAAUAAGUCUCAUAACACCUAGCUUGAUGGAUUAUUGAAGAGAAGGAAUGCAUCCGAGGGGAUAAAUUGCCAAAAAUAAGCCAGCAAGUUGCAAGGAUGAAAGAGUUCAAUGAUUUUGGAGAGUACAAAAUAAAACACACGAUCAGCAGAAAUGCAGAAAUGUACUUGCUUUAGUUUCACGGCAGAGUGGAGGCCAUAUAAUGUUG